UUUUGGGUAGAUCCGUGUGGUGCCAGGAGUUGGACUCGAUGAUCCUUGUGGGUCCCUUCCAACUCGGGAUAUUCUAUGAUUCUGUGAUUCUAUGAUUCUCGUCAGUCAGUUUGUAUGAUCCCAGGAAUGCGCUUAUGUUAGAGGCCAUGGGAAGACAGAACUGCAAGGUGGGAUGGGAAAAAUGUGCUGGAGCUGGAAACCCACGGGAGCUGCUCACAGUGAUGUUGCCAGCAGCAAAGCUAAGCCUUAGGUUCUGGUUACUUAGGAAGACACGCUGCAAAAUACAGAGUAUUACACACAAGAUGUGGGGGUUUUCAGCCCUACCAGGAGCUUGGUGUGUGAUCUGAGUCAAAUCACAUUAGAUGUCAUUUAAAUUUAACAUUUUUAAAAUUAAUAAUCAUAAUAAAAAAUGAACUUUUUUGUUUGUUUUUGUUUGAUUUUUUUUUUCUGUUACUAAGGAGAAUAAAGACCCUAAGCAAAAGCAGUGGAUAAAAAUGAAGUUGAACCACAGCAGAAAUCGACCAAAAUCCAAUCCUUCUACUACUGUAACUUACUUCCCUUUCUUAAGCUUUCUUAAGCAUCAGGAGAUCAAAAUCAUCAUUGUACGGAUGGAUUACAAACACAUGGAUUUUCCAAAAUAAGGGGACAACCACUCACCUCCCCUUUCUUUAGUAAAAGCUUUGAUUUUAUGGCUGCACCUAUAUGAAAUUCUGUAGUGUAUCAUUUUCUUUGAAAAACAGUUUGUAGGUAAUUUUUCAUUGUCUGCUGCAUUGUCUCUCUUCUCUAAACGUAUUUGAGAUAUUAAGUUGGGGAAUUGCUGAAUCUGUAAUUUUUACCAGCAUAGAAAUUGAAAAAUACCAAGAAAAUUCUUGCAUUAUUGUAUAUUUAUGUUACCCAUUGACAUAAAACCAAGUUAUGUAGAAUAUUGAAAGAACUAUUUUCUGCCUAUAUACAGGUAAAAAAAUGUUUGUGAAGGAUGACAAUACAGCAUUCAAUCUGAAUGUAAAUGUUUACCUUUUGUGAUCUGAUGAAAGGGUAGACUUAGAUUUUGUUGCUGGAUGUAACAGGAGGUACACCUGGAGGAGGCCUUAUGAUCCUGAGCAAAUUGAUGUUGUAGUUAGUGCCUCAGCUUCUUGCAUAUUAUCUUAUUCAAGAAGAACAUACAGGAAUGUACAAAAGGACACUUUUACCUAGCCUGACACUCAGAAAAGGUAAGUGUAAUGUGUUAUCCUGACUUUAGCCUAUUCACCCAUUUCCUAUAUAACCUGUAGAAUACAAGCAAGUAAUGCCAAAACUUGUUGAAGCUGCUUAACCAUACAGGUCAGACUUUUGGAUAUCUUAUUUCUUUACAAGAGAAUAUCCCACAAAUGAGAAGAACAGUCUGUCUUUCUUUGCAGGAAUCAGCUCCCUAGCUUGAAGGCUGAGGAGGUGUGAAGUCUGUCUGGUUUUUGUCAAUCAGAAGGAGAAGCCAAAACAUCAGAUGACUUGUUUGUCCUUCAUAUGCAUGGAAGUGAUUUCCAGGAUUACUUGCUCCAUUGUUCUUUAUUGUACGGAGUCCCUAUCUAGGAAAAUACUGAAUAACAGUGACCCUCUUGAGUUUAAAUAUAUGUUAGUAAGUUGAAAGAGAAAGAGGACAGACAAUUUCCAUCAACAGUUUUGCUUAAUGAAUGUCUAAGGCCAAAGAAACUGGGUGGAUAUGCUUGUUCCAAAUACUCCAGAUGACUUUUCUUCCAGAUGAGAUGUCUUUCAGACCCUUGUUUUCAACAGUACUGAGGAUUGUUCUGAGUAGCUGCAGGCCCUUCUGUAGAUUGGUUCUGUCUUUCCCCAAGACUGUCUCAAUUUUAGGGUAGCUUAAGCUUUUUAUUCAAUAUUCAGAAGCAAGAUUUUGUUUGCAGAACUGUUAAUUAUCCUCAACAGGUUUUUAUGAGCAUUCUCUGCUUAUACUGGAAAGCUAAAAUUCCUUUUAUAUUCUAGCACAAGUGCAGUUAAUGGAGCCUAUGCUACUUUGGACUAACAGGAGUAUACCUGAUUGCAUAGUUCAGAACAUGUGCUUCUCAAUGUGAGUCAAUAGAAAAAAAAAUCUAGAAAUUCUGCCCAUUACAAAAUAUUUGUUAAAUACAGAAGAUUAUGGGACAGAAAUGCUACCGAAAUUCUGGGACUGGAAAAUAAGAAGGUUGCUCAGACUUCAUUAGUAUAUGGAUUUAGUCAUCAGCAUUUGAAGCAGUUCAGUGUCCAGGAAAGCUGAAUGAGUUCUGUUAAAAUGCCAUCUUUGAAUAAUACAUCAGUUCAGGCUCAUGCCCACACCCCCAAAAGUCUGCUGUGUUCUUUGGUAGGUCAAAAUGAAACAAAAGUUUCAUUACUCAGAAGAACUGUGAGGCUGAGGGAACAGAUUUGACAUUUGUUGCCAAACUCCUGCUGUGUCUCAUGCAGUGGAAGUGAAUUCUCAGAAGGUAUGAGGCAGGGACAAAAAUUGGAGCAGGGCCCUGUUCUCUGGAAAUGGAGUAGCACUUUUCAUCUACUUUAAAAAUGUUCUGAAAUCACAAGCUGUUUACUGCAAUCAAGGAGUCUUAUUCAGAGUACAGGAACAUCGUCUCAUUUUGCUUUCCAAAUUCUUUCAGGGUUUCAGAAGUCAACUGCAAUGCAAAGUCUGUAAAAGCCAAAUACUGCAAUGCUGUGGAACAGAUAGGAUGCAUCAAACUUGAUCAGACUACCUGUUCCUGCUUCCAUAUUCUCAGAGACAUAUCAGAGAUUAAAUUUAAAGGAGUAUUUUUCAUUCUUACUCUCUCUGGAGAGCAAGAAAGAUGUGAAGAAUUUGAUGUCUGUAAUAGAGGGAAAUGGAAGCAAGGGCUGAACUAGCACAGAUUUCACAUGCUUCAUGUGCUUUCAGAGUCUGGAUUAAAGGGAAAUUAUGCUUGUGCUAUUGCUUUGUUUGUGAUGUCUGGCCAUGAGGUUGCUCAGUGCAAAGCUGGGAAGUGGUAGGCAAAGAUGGCUUGUCCUGAAUGACCCACCCAAGGUUGGCAGCAAUUUGCUAUACCAGUUUCUGCAGCCUUGAUGUGGUAUCAGCUGAGAGAACAGGACAGGAUUGUCUGUGGUGUCCCUAUAGUACUUUGGCAAUCUGGAUGGUUAGGGCAAAUGUGGUUACUUGUACCUACAGGUAAAGUGCAGGUGAGGAACAAAGAACCAGACUUCUGUUUAGCUAAAAAGACCUAGACAGAAAACCUCUUUGAAAAGAGAUUUCAGUAUAUCAGGGUAAUGUAGGUAGUAGAUUAAAAUAAAGAAAAUCCAGGAGGUAAACCGUGAUAAUACUUUCUCUAAAAAGACCUGAAACUGCUUUUCUCUUGUAUGACUGAAAAAGAAGCCUCCAGAGCCUUUCUGAAAAAUCUUGCUCUGGCUGGGAAGAGGGAAAUUCCUUUUCCUGAUUUCUUUCCAGAGGGACUGAAAUAAGCAGAUGUGAUACCUAGAAACAGUCUUAGAAUAUCAACAGAGAGGAAAUUUAAUGUGCAGUGCAACAUGUUUUUUUUUUUUUUUUUUUUUUUUUUUUGACAACCAUGUGCCAGACUUCUUCCCAGAGUAAUCAAUGACCAAAAAAUGCACUUAAAAUGAGAGGGUGCAAAAGAUUAAGCUUUGGGAUAAUACCCAGAAAUGAAGUAAAAGCCCUUUAAACCAAUUAAAAAGGAGGGAGCAUGUCAAGAAGAUGUGAGUUGAUUCUUUUUUGUUGGUGGUGGUUUUUUGCUUCUGUUGUUUAUGUUAUUUUUAAUUUUGAAUAAGACACAGCUAAGAAAGAAUGAUGCUCUAUCUGCCUUUCUAUGGCUUGACAUUUUAAUCUCUAAUUGGUUGUAAGAUAUUUGAGCUCCACGUAUUCACAAAACACCCUGGCCCUUUGAGGUUAGGAGAGCAGUGGGCGGCAGGCAGAACAGUCAGGAGUGCAUCCAUCCUGGCAGCUAUUGCCUUCUUUUUUGUGUGUUAUUCCCUAGAGCAUGGAGAGUGACUGCUGGUAGGGCAGAGAACGAGAGAGAGGAGCCUCUACACCUCUUCUGUGCUAUUGGCUGGUUUUGUUUUCUGGCAUCUGAGAUUUGACCUUUGGACACUAGCUACCACCAAACAUCAUGUUUUCACUGAAUUUGUCUCUGUUCUUCCCAGUCUCCUCUUCUUUCCUCUGUUUGCAGAGUUGCAAAGGUAAGAAUAUGAAAUGCUUCUUCUUGGUUCAUUUCUCAUGUGGGGAUUAAUAUGCUAAGUGAGAGGUAUCUGAAAUUCUAAACAGCUAAAGACAAGUUUAGCAGGGAUCUCAAAUAACACUGUGUUCUUUACACAGCUACGCAACAGAGGCCAAUGUAGCUCAGAUUUUCUGAAUGAGUAAUUACUCUAACCUUCUUAGAAUCAUUAUGUGGAUACCUGUGCAGCAAGUACAAAGCAAUGCCUUGUAGUCCUUUCGCUUAAUCCUGCAUUCAGUGAAGUCAGCAGAAGUUCUACACUGACUUCAGGGGAUGCUGGGUUAAGCCUCACAUGUGUGAUCCUUGUCAAGGGGUGUAUUACAGGAAAUAAGCAACUGAAUGUGCUUUCUGAUGCCAGAGACCUUCUCUUCAGAUAUGUGAGACAGCCCUGAAGGAGGAGACAGCAUGUUGUUCUACAUUUUUAUAAUUUUUACCUAGUCUAGGAGUCCUGCAUAAAGGCGUCAGGUAA